rnacentral:rRNA from 1 species
AUUGAACGCUGGCGGCAGGCCUAACACAUGCAAGUCGAGCGGAUGAAGGGAGCUUGCUCCUGGAUUCAGCGGCGGACGGGUGAGUAAUGCCUAGGAAUCUGCCUGGUAGUGGGGGAUAACGUCCGGAAACGGGCGCUAAUACCGCAUACGUCCUGAGGGAGAAAGUGGGGGAUCUUCGGACCUCACGCUAUCAGAUGAGCCUAGGUCGGAUUAGCUAGUUGGUGGGGUAAAGGCCUACCAAGGCGACGAUCCGUAACUGGUCUGAGAGGAUGAUCAGUCACACUGGAACUGAGACACGGUCCAGACUCCUACGGGAGGCAGCAGUGGGGAAUAUUGGACGAUGGGCGAAAGCCUGAUCCAGCCGUGCCGCGUGUGUGAAGAAGGUCUUCGGAUUGUAAAGCACUUUAAGUUGGGAGGAAGGGCAGUAAGUUAAUACCUUGCUGUUUUGACGUUACCAACAGAAUAAGCACCGGCUAACUUCGUG